rnacentral:rRNA from 1 species
AACGUAGGACGCGAGCGUUAUCCGGAGUUACUGGCGUAAAGCGCGGCAGGCGGUCUGACAAGUCUGAUGUGAAAUCACCCGGCUCAACCGGGCGAGGCCAUUGGAAACUGACAGGCUGGAGGGCAGUAGAGGUAGGCGGAAUUCCGGGUGGAGUGGUGAAAUGCGUAGAGAUCCGGAGGAACACCAGAGGCGAAGGCGGCCUACUGGGCUGCACCUGACGCUGAGCCGCGAAAGCCAGGGAGCGAACGGGAUUAGAGUACC